AUUGACACUGACCUUGUUCCCAGGACUUAUAUCCAAGUCUUCGAUCUCUCCUUCAUGUGCUUUGAAGUCAAACUUUUUCUUCAGGGAAGGAAACUGAAACAGGACAUACCAGGGACCAAAAGUAAUUGGACAACUGACGAAGGCCAUUUCAUGGGCAGGUGUGGGCAGUUCCUUCGUUCUGUCAUUAUCAAGCGGAUAAAAGACCUGGAGUUGAUUUGAGGAGUCGUGCUUGCAUUUGGCAGAUUUUGCUGUGAGCAGACAUCAUGUGGUCAAAUGAGCUCUCUGUGAAACAAGCCACCCUUAAACUGCGGAAAGAGAAAACACUCACACUGUUAGGAGCGGCAAAAUCUACAGUUUGGUGCAUCCUGAGAAAGAAAGCAAGCACUGGUGAACUCAGCAACUCAAAAAGACCUGGACGUCCACGACAACAGUGGUGGAUGAUCGCAGAAUCAUUUCCAUGGUGAUGAGAAACCCUUCACAACCAAGCAACAUUCUCCAGGAGGUGGGCUUAUCCAAGUCUACCAUAGAAGACUACGGUACAUGAAAGUAAAUACAGAGAGCUUACUGCAAGGUGCAGGCCGCUCAUAAGUCUCAAGAACAAAAAAUCUAGACUGGAGCUUGCAAAAAAAGAAAAAAGAAAAGAAAGCGAACAAAAGAGAGCACACCUAAACAGCCAGCAGAGUUCUGGAAAAGCAUUCUUUGGACAGAUGAAACCAACAUCCACCUCUACCAGAACGAUGGCAA